AGUUUCCAGCCUCUCCCUGAGGAGCCUUCCCCCAUUUUCACUGUCGCACCAUUAGAGCUGUCAGAGGGUGCUACAGAGGCAGGUCUGAGUGGUAUUUUAAUAUUUUUUAUAUAAUAAAAUUUGAUUUUAGUUGUAUCUGUUAACUUUAUAGAUAGCUAUCAUGCUAAUGAUGUAUUCAUUAUUGUUUCAGGCCAUUCGAUGCAGGUGGUGAGGUGAGGAUGAGGUUCAUCGAAGAAUCUCAUCCUGGAGCAUUAGAGACGUGAGCACGAGGGACAGUAUCUCCAUAUCGAGAUUUCACCCGGCUACACCAUGCCCAUUAUGUGAUGGUGCGAGCCAUGGCGGAUUGAGUUGGGUAUCAUAUGCCAUAGCUAUGCCCUUGUGAUGCUCUCCGAUUGGCAUCACAUUACAUUGGCUCAGAGAG
rnacentral:lncRNA from 1 species